rnacentral:rRNA from 1 species
GACGAACGCUGGCGGCGUGCUUAACACAUGCAGGUCGAACGGAAAGGCCCUGCUUUUGUGGGGUGCUCGAGUGGCGAACGGGUGAGUAACACGUGAGUAACCUGCCCUUGACUUUGGGAUAACUUCAGGAAACUGGGGCUAAUACCGGAUAGGAGCUCCUGCUGCAUGGUGGGGGUUGGAAAGUUUCGGCGGUUGGGGAUGGACUCGCGGCUUAUCAGCUUGUUGGUGGGGUAGUGGCUUACCAAGGCUUUGACGGGUAGCCGGCCUGAGAGGGUGACCGGCCACAUUGGGACUGAGAUACGGCCCAGACUCCUACGGGAGGCAGCAGUGGGGAAUAUUGCACAAUGGGCGGAAGCCUGAUGCAGCAACGCCGCGUGCGGGAUGACGGCCUUCGGGUUGUAAACCGCCUUCGCCUGUGACGAAGCGUGAGUGACGGUAAUGGGUAAAGAAGCACCGGCUAACUACGUG